rnacentral:rRNA from 1 species
AUUUGGCGGACGGGUGAGUAACACGUAUCCAACCUGGCCUUUACAAUGGGAUAGGCUUUCGAAAGAAAGAUUAAUACUGUAUGUUCCGUGAUCUCCGCAUGGAGAUUCCGGCAAAGAUUUAUCAGUAAAGGAUGGGGAUGCGUUCCAUUAGGCAGUAGGCGGGGUAACGGCCCACCUAACCAACGAUGGAUAGGGGUUCUGAGAGGAAGGUCCCCCACAUUGGAACUGAGACACGGUCCAAACUCCUACGGGAGGCAGCAGUGAGGAAUAUUGGUCAAUGGGCGAGAGCCUGAACCAGCCAAGUAGCGUGCAGGAAGACGGCCCUAUGGGUUGUAAACUGCUUUUAUCAGGGAAUAAUAGUUGGUACGUGUACCGACCUGAAGGUACCUGAAGAAUAAGCAUCGGCUAACUCCGUGCCAGCAGCCGGGGUAAUAAU